AUAGUACGUGGGCGAAGCCUGACCGCAAUGCCGCGUGCAGGAACAAGGCCUUCGGGUUGUAAACUGCUUUUGUCCGGAACGAAACGGUCUGCCCUAAUACGGCGGGCUAAUGACGGUACCGUAAGAAUAAGCACCGGCUAGGUAGGUGCCGGCAGCCGCGGUAAUACGUAGGGUGCGAGCGUUAAUCGGAAUUACUGGGCGUAAAGCGUGCGCAGGCGGUUAUGUAAGACAGUUGUGAAAUCCCCCGUGCUCAACCUGGGAAUUGCAUCUGUGACUGCAUAGCUAGAGUACGGGAGAGGGGGAUGGAAUUCCCCGUGUAGCAGGGGAAGUGCGGAGAUAUGCCGAAGGAACACCGAAAGGCCAAGGCAAUCCCCUGGACCCUGUACUGACCCCUCAUGCACCAAAA
rnacentral:rRNA from 1 species